rnacentral:rRNA from 1 species
GACGAACGCUGGCGGCGUGCUUAACACAUGCAAGUCGAACGGAAAGGCCCCUUUGGGGGUACUCGAGUGGCGAACGGGCGGGUAACACGUGCGUAACUUGCCCUUGACUUCGGGUUAACUUCAGGCAAGUGGGGCUAAUACCGGCUAGGUAUCCUUGCCGCCUGGUGGGGGUUGGAAAGCUUCGGUGGUUUGGGAUGGACUGGCGGCGUAUCUGUUUGUUUGUGGGGUGGGGGCUUACCAAGGCUUUGUCGGGUAGCCGGCCUGGGGGGGCGUCCGGCCACAUUGGGGCUGGGAUUCGGCCCAGGCUCCCACCGGGGGCAGCAGGGGGGGAUAAUGCACCAUGGGCGGGAGCCUGAUGCAGGAACCGCGCGGGCGGGAUUACGGCCUUCGGGUUGGAAACCGCUUUCAGCAUGGGCGAAGCUGGUAGUGACGGUACCGGCAGAAGAAGCACCGGCUAACUACGUG